UGUGCCCUGACCGAGUCUGUCGAAGUUGACCUGGAAAGGCACGUCAGAGAGGGUGAGAGCCCCGUGUGCGGCACAUUCGGGCAGGGCUGCUACUGUCUUCAGAGAGUCGGGUUGUUUGGGAAUGCAGCCCAAAGUGGGUGGUAAACUCCAUCUAAAGCUAAAUACUGGCACGAGACCGAUAGCGAACAAGUACCAUGAGGGAAAGGUGAAAAGUACUUUGAAAAGAGAGUCAAAAAGACCGCGAAACCGUUAGGAGGGAAACGAAUGCAGCUGAAGUGUCUCCGCUCAGGCUCAGGAGAUGUCGGUCGGUUGCGACGGGCGUGCGGAAACCGCAAGGUGCCGCCGUCUGGAGCGCUGCCGACUCCUCUGCACUUCUGUUCGGAGACGGCCAACAACGGCUGUUCCCGGCUCAGAAUGGCGUCGGGGUAGGUAGCUCUCCGAUUCGUCGGGGAGAACUUAUAGCCCUUCGUCUGGCAGUCCGGGUGCGACCGAGGAGAGUCGCGAAUUCUCGCGCUUGCAGUGCAGGCCUUCUAGGCUAGGAUCUCUUCUGCUCGCUUGGACGUCGCUGGAGGUACUGCGUGCAGUGCCGCCUGCCGACCGUCUGUUCGGGCGGGAGGCCGAUCGCUCCUUGCACUGUGGUUGUUGGUGUCCAAAUGGCUGCAUCCGA
rnacentral:rRNA from 1 species